GAAUUCUCUUCCUUCUUCUUUGUCUGUGGAGACCCAGUCAGGUUGUCAAGGUCAUUGGAGAAAGAGUGAAAUGUACAGAGGAAUGAUUUUUAAAAAUUAAAAUCUUCCUCCUUCGCUGGACUAUAAGCAUCUUAGGGGCAGAUACUACUUCUGUCCUGCUGCUCUCCAUUGUGUCAACAGUACAAGCAUGGAGCCUGGUGCAUGUUCUGGCAGCACUGGCUCCUCAGAUGCAGAAAUGAAGGCUGCAGAAACACCUCUGCUCAGGAUGUCUGUCUGUGUUGUCCCUGCCACCUACGAGUAGCAGGAGUUCUAAGAAGGGAGAGGACCAUCUCCUGGACUGCAGUGGGAAGAGGUGAGUGGCUUCCUUGGUCUUUUCCCUUGGGGACUCAGGAGAGAACCCUUUAGCCAUCCUGAUUUUGCCCACUCACUCCAAAGCUUCCUGGACUCUCCCCAGGUUUUUUUUCUGGCUCAGCCAUUUCUACCAGCGAAAUGGAUCUCUCGUUUCCCUUACUAUUUUCAACUAACCAUGGACAAUUCUCCUCCCCCUUUAAUUAAAUCAAGAUAACGGUGGGAUUUUGCCUACGAAACUUGACUGGAAACCUAAGGAAAACCCCAUACACUUGUAAUAGGGAUUCCUAAGCUGGCGGGCUUCAUCAGACCCCUGGUCCUUCUCAUGUUCUUAUCUAACUCAGUUCCUAGACCAGCCACACAGAUCCCUAACCUGAUAGGCACGUGGUUAGCUUUAGUAGACACAGCCGGUCUCCAAAAUGGCUAUCCCCUUUUUGCACUCCCAUCAGUAGUGAAUAAGUGUUCCAUUGCUCAAGAUGCUAGCCCACCUUUGUGACUGCAAGUGUUCUGUAUUACUGUCAUUUUGGUGAGUGUGUAUGAGUAUCAAGUUUUGAUUUUGUUUUCCCUGAAGAAUAAUGAUGUUGAGCACCUUUCCUUGUAUUCCUUAACCAUUUGGUUAUCCUCUUUUGUAAAGUGCAUUUCAAAUCGUUUGCACAUUUUUCACUGGAUACAAGCUCUUUGUCAGAUAUAUAUCUAUUGCCAAAAUCUUCUGCCAGUCUAUAGCUUACCUUGGAACUCUCUUCAUCCUCAUAUGGCCCAAUGAAAUCUUUUUGUAAUAUAAAACCACAGAGUUAGCAG